GCAGGGUUGUCUUCUUCAUGGCCUGAUUGUAGCCGUUUGCGUGCAGUCCCUGCCCUCUGCUGGCCACAGGUGUAACUCCACCCAGGAACUCUCCUUGGUGCUGCUCAAUAAUCUCUUCGUCAUGUGUACCUAAUCAAGUGUCUUUCAUCACAUCUUGGAAGGGCGUAACAAGCACUGAGGAACGCGGACGGCCAGGGUUGCUAUUUCCAUGCAGAAAACGCGUUGCCAAGCCCAAAGGCAUCGUCGACCUUUUCCGGGGAUGAACGCUUUGUACCGCUGCCGCCGCCCUGGGAGGAUCUGCUUGGACAGAGAUUUGGGGAGUCCGCAGCCCUGAAGUUGACCGUCGCUGCUCAGGGAACGAAUGUCGCCCAUCUCCAGAGCCUGUUGGGAAGGAAAGUUGCAGGGCCAGAGCUCCGACCCUCAAUUUUUUCCGUGCUCUGAUUGGCUGAUCGGCGCAAAACUGACUCGGUACCGCACGAUGAGAAAGAUGAUAAACGCCAGCACCGAGGCCACGAUAAUCCCCCCGAUGAUGACCACGAUGGUCCCGCCCAGGAACUGGGACUGCAUGAAGUGGCACCUCAGGUACUGCGGCUCGGUG